AAUUUCAUAAUGGAUGUUUUUUAUCUAUGUAGCUAAUCGAUGUAGCUAUUCAAGUGAUGGUAGCUACGAUUUUCUAAGACUUCACCUCAUCACGUGAUCCUCACCCCGCCUAUAGUAGGCGUGUUAACCAGUAGAGAUGGCGAUAAAGCAGAGCUACUAGCCUUGAGUGUGUUUAAGCUUCAUGCAUGUCAGUGUUCUUGGUGGAGAUCAAGAGCUCAUCAAAUCCAAGGAGUCUUUCCAAUCUUAUUAUUGAUAGGACCAAACAAGAGGGAUCUGAUACUGAGGACCAAACAAGGAGGAUCAGAUAGCCCCAGGCUCAAGGAAUGGCUCAGAGAGACUCGAUAAAGAAAAAGGCAUCGUAUAACUGGUCACUCUUUUUUUACCAUUAGCAAU
rnacentral:lncRNA from 1 species